CUCUCUCUCUCUCUCUCUCUGUUCCAGCCCUUUCGCCACUCUUCCUGCUAAUCCUUUCCUCCCACCUGCCGGUCCCCUCCCGGCGCCAAGGGACAUGCGCGCCUGCCUCCUCUUGCCGCCAGUCACCCGCGAGGACUCUCUCUGCUAGCCCACCCGCGCCACACACCCGCCACGGACUCCCCCUGUCAGGAACACUCUACUUGUUGCUCCCACUACUCGUCUGCGUGAGGUUCCUGAUCGGCGAGACAGGUACUGAAUACGUGACACUGGCGACACAAAGGCGACAGACACCAUGAAGGACAUGAACAACUCCCUCGCCUCGAAGGACAAGACCCUGAAGGAAACGCUGAAGUCCGCAUCAUCCCCAAGGACAUCUGAAUCCAGGCUUUCUUCAGUAGCUAAUGGGAAUGCGAAUGAUCUUGACCACUUACAGGCCGAGGAUGAGCACCUGAUGUCCACUGUGACUCCUACAGCAGGGGAUGUUAGCAAGGAAUCCGCGGAGAGCCAAGGAGAGGCGCCCCCGUCCACAAUGUCAGUGGGUUCUCUGGUGGAGUAUCUCAUGAGUGGCCCAGGAAGAAAGGCUGCCAAGAAGCUACAGAAGGAAAACAACGCAGAUAGGUCCAGCAUGGUGCGAAGUCAUAUGGUACACCAAGUUACUACUGCAGGGGUCCACACGCCUCCCCCACACCUCGCCACACCCCCACUUGAGGUACCCGAGGAGCAGGAGCCAUUCGUGCCGGACAAGGCGACCACCAUGGAUGAGGUGGUACAGUUGGCAAUACAGAACAAGGAUAAGGUGAACAGAAGUCUUGAACAUGAGACCCAAGAACAGAGACAAAACGAUACACAACAGACAAAUCUGGCCAAUAUGGAGGACAAGAACGAAGCGCACUCUGGAGAUGGUGAUAAAGACUCCAGUUUGUCAGUAGCCACAGAAAAAACUAACGACACGCUGCAAGGGAGUGGCAUGGUUUCUCUUGCAUCCCAACCUGAUGAAUCUAGCCCAACUGAAAGUUCAGUCCUCACCAGUGCCACAAAGAUUCAAAGCAGGCCUGGCUCCAGCGACCGCGCGGCAACUUCCAGCAGGCCUCCAUCUAGUGGCAGGGUUGCUGUGCCGAAAAGACCAGACUCUAAGGAGAGAAUCGUGAGCUCCAGCAGACGUCCCUCAAAGGACAGGGCCACCAGCUCCAGCAGGCCCACUUCUAAAGACAGGGAUAUUAACUCCAACAGAUCUACUUCAAAGGACAGAAAAUUAAGCUCCAGCAGGCCGCCCUCGAAAGACAGAACCAUAAACUCCAGCAGAUCUACUUCGAGGGACAGAACUAUAAUGACCAGUAGGCCUACUUCAAUAGAAAGGGCCAUGAGCUCCAGUAGGCCUACGUCAAGAGACAGAGGUGUUAACUCUAGCAGACCCAAUUCAAUAGAGAGAAGUUCAAGAUCUAGACCACCAAACAGGCCCACCUCUAGGGAAAGACCGCCUACAACCCGGAUAGAUAAGAAAAAGACCUUGGCUUCAGUACAGGAAGGAAGAGAGGCCGCUACCAGGCCCUCGAGACCAACCUCCAGGAGCAUGGGAUCCACUGAGCCAAAGAUCACCAUCAAGGAGACGUCAGUUUUUCAGAGGCCCGAGAAUGUUGAUCACGGCCUGCCUCCUUCUGGGGCUACGAAGCAAGGUAAAUCAGCUCCAGUGCAGGACAAGCUAAAUCAGGAAAGGAAUGUUGCAAAAUUGUACCAAAGACUUAUCAAGAAACAUGUGUCAGGCAACAAAACAGGUCCUUCUAAAGAGGUUGCAAGUGACAAAGGUCCUGCCAUGGCUGAUCACGCCUCCAAAUACAGAGUACAGAGCCAGACUCCUGAUCUCCGUGAUGGGUCACCAUUACAACCAACUAGAGAAGAGGUGUCAGUGCAACAAAAUGACACUCUUUUAGUGGGUGCUUCACUGUCUCUCAAUAAUACUUCAUCAAGGCCACAGACUCCGAAGCAGGGCACUUCAAGCAUCGGAGACACAUUGGCCAUGGUGGCACCACAGGAAGGCUUAGAUAAGGAGUCUGACGCCAAACAGCUCGUGGUACAGGAGGCACAGCCAAGUCGCUCCUUGCUGUCAAGCAUGGCAGAACAAAAUUUUUUAAAUUCUCGAAGCCAGAGACCAGAGUCACCUGUUCCCGAACCAAAGACUGGCGAACAGGCUGAGUUACAAAAUAAGCAUGCAGCUUCCUCGGGUCAUUCACAGGAAAUAAAACCACUGACUGCACUCGAAGGAGCCAAUCAGAGCACACAAGUUACUGAGAAAUCAGAAUCAGACAGCCAACCAGAGAGCGGGAAGCAGCCCCCGACGGACCAAUCAAUAACUGAGGACGGUGUCGCGGCCAGCACGACGAGCGUGAAGGAUAGUGGCGGUAAAGUCCCGACUCUCGCCAGUGUUCCCUCACGUGCGGCGCUGAGCGGAAGCGGUGAGAACGAUGCUGCUGGUGAUCCUUACACGGCUUUGCCCUUAAUACAGGGCGAAGUGGGAACCAGCAGCAGUGUUAAAACAGUCGUCCCCUUCGACCCUCUGAAGCUGCCUCCUCACAGUGAACAUGGAAUUAUCCCCAUUGAGAGCAGCCGCGGCGGACUCCUCCCACGUGUACUUGACCAACCUGUACCCUACGUAUCUUCCCUCCGUGGAGAUGUUCUCGUGAAGGCUCUAGAGGAGUCAGCGAGAACGAACGCAGGUGAUAGAAUACAUAUACCUCCACCACAAGUACAAGGCGUCAUGCCCUAUCAUGUGGCACCGCGAGGAUCCUCUCUGUCGGCUGUGGAGGUCCCCGAACCUACCCUGUCUACUGUGUCGCUGGCUGUAUCUAAGAACACAGCCGACUUGGGCCGUCCUAUGCCCCUGCGUGAUCAAGGUACUGGUGGCAUCUUUGACCGAUUUACCUCAAACGCCUCCUCCACCAGUUUGUGGCACAAGAUCACGCCACUGGCAGUUAGACCAUCCAAUGAUGCAUACUAUCGCGAACCUCGGGAGUACGAAGACUACUUGCCACGUGAGCCUCCAAGGCCUGUCCUGCAGCGCCGCAAUUCCUUGGGAAAAAUUAACACACAUGAUUACGAAGAGGAUGACGACUACUACUAUGAAGAUGACUACAAUGAUAAUUUACGACAAAAGAGAGUAAAGGAAAGUCGCGGGGCGCAGACAGUGCGAGUGAAAAACCAGCAACCAAGGCACGGCAUCCUCAAAAAGCCUGAGCCUCGCCCGGUGAAGAAGGAGGAGCCACGCAACACUAUCCUAGAGAAGUUAGAAGAGUAUCGCAACAGCCCGCCAAUCAUUAUUGCCAGUGGUAUCGUGCCUAAGAAUCUGGAGAGCCUGACCUCAGAGUACCAGGCGACACGUGGGGGCGAGUCACAAAAGAACGGGACAAAGAAUCACGCACCAAAAGAGAAGGAGCACUUUCACGACCGACACGCAGAAACAGGAACAAGCGUCACGGCCCCCCUGCUGGCGUCAUCGGGGCCUAAACAGAGUAUCGGGGACGUAUUCGACCGUCUUCACAACAACCGCAGGCUUGAACACGCGGCGCUCGUCUCAAGACGGCCGGAACUCAAACAGAAACCGAAGCCGAUCCCGAAGACGAAGGAAAGAGACACAGGUGUCGCCAGCAUCACCCCCCGAGCAGCCACGGAACCACAACGGAACGGAGGCAAGGACGUCUAUACACGGCUCUACCAGAACGCCGCUCCUGCAAGAAAACGGCGGGAUGAGUACGGAGAAUCGACACGUCUAUUGGAUAACGCUGCCCCCCACGCCCCCGCCCCAGCCAUCCCGAUUCGUCAUGAAGCCCACAAGAGCUCCCCGAGGGCCUCCAAGGACGUACAGAAGCUACAGACCCGCCCGGCCGAACACGUCAUUAAUAUGCCCCUGUCCGAGUCUCCUCCGGCCACGCAGGAACCUCUGGGGCUGGCCCCGGACAUCGUGGUGGACGACGAGCCAGCGCCCAUACAUCCCGGCUACGUGGAUCAGACAGGAAAGGGUACCAGCGACAAGAUACCAAUUGUACUCCUCCAGGGAUUUUUCCAAGGGCCGGGAGCUAGGUCGCCGCAUCACCGUCGACCGUCAAUGAGUGUGAACGAGCUCACGCUGCCGCCACACCUGGUCGACGUCACUUCAGUGAUUCGUGGUGCCCUGCCUGUCCUGCCCCGCUCACUGGCUGCCCUCUGCCUCACCCUCAACAUUCUCCUUCCCGGUCUCGGAACGGCAGCAAGCGGGUGGCUUGGCCUGUGCUGGGGCAGGAACCGCAUGGGAACAGUGGAGACCAGUGGCCACCGCUUCACCUCAGUGGUGGUGACAGCAGCCACCGGGCUUGUCCAGCUCUUCACAGUGACCUUCUUCCUGGUGGGGUGGUUCUGGGGGGUAGCCUGGGGGAUCCUCCUCGUCUCAAUUGCCAGUGAGUGGGCUGUGGCUUCCUCCUCUCCUCAUUCUGUGCUGGAGACAUGAAGAAAAAUAGUUCUUAGAGGAGGAGCAGGAGGAGCAGUAACAGAAAAAAAAUAAAAUUACUAUAUUUUCUGAAGAAACAUCAAUAGAGGCACUGAUCAGUUUUCAGUGAAAGAAGAGAAAAAAUCUUUAAAACAGAAAUUAUCCUCAUAAACUAAAAAAAAAAAAAAAAAGGCAAGGUAAAAAGUAGAUAGACUUCAUUAUAAGCAGUGAAGGGAGGAUGACUGUUAGAGACAAGGUUCAGACAAAAUCUUAAAAAUAUCAUGAAGGGAAAAAACACAAAACUUAACAAAGGUGUAAGGGAGACCAAGGUAGUUCCUAAAACAAUGAACAAAGGAAAGCAAGCAGCAAAACAAGAAAGACCAGACAAAAAAAAGGGAAAGAAAAGAGAGAAUUUUACCAAGAGAGAAGGAGGAAAUUGUUCAAUUAAUACAAAUGAAGAUAUCUUACAGUGUAGGGAAGAAGAAUUAUACAGAGGUGGAGGGAGGUUUAAUUCCUCUUUGGAACUUUGGGAGAAAGAAAUGAUGGCUGGUCCACAAAGACAAGUACACCCAGUUCUUGUCAGAGCAUCGGUCCUCAAUCAGUGGGGCAGUCAGCCUAGAGAUGUUGGCAGUCAACGCCAAUUAGAUGUGCAGGGCUUCAACAAACCCCAUCCUCAUCACCUACCACCACUGCAAGC
rnacentral:misc_RNA from 1 species